AACAUCCACAAUCGUCGUUCUUAAACAUUCAAACAGGUAUCAUGGCUCAAUUCUUACAUCUUAGCCAAGAAUCUCUAAGGAUUUAGCUACUCAUGAUGCUAGAAGAAAACAAAACAAAAGAAACCUUAACCAUCAUCUUGAUGAAGAGAAAACGGCUUGUUCUUCUUUCAAUCGCUGCUUUUGGUCUUCUAUCUUCAAUCCU
rnacentral:lncRNA from 1 species